AGUUUUUCCAAAUAAUUGGAGACUUAUUUCAUCGUAAGAUUAUUAAAAACGAACUGAAACCGAAACUGUCCAGGCUGGUUGACUUUAUGCAUUCCAACCUUGACGCUGUUAAAGAGAUAUUUGAUGAAGAAAUGUCGAAACUAACCAAGGGUCCCGAACGACCAAUGGUGGACAACUACUUACCCCCAGUGGGUGGUAUGUUAUGGUGGGUUUAUAAACUGCGUAGGCGCAUCCAAACCCCAAUGGAAGAUUUUAUCGUUUUUGAAGAUCCAAUUAUCGAAACAGAGUAUGCGCUUUACAUGAAGCAAAAACACAAUGAGAUGCUGGGGUAUCUUAAUGUCGUGGAAGAUCGGCAGUUUAAGCAGUGGUGUGCGACUGUACCUAACAUAUGCAAAACGCACUUGGCUAAAAACCUUAUAUACCGGGAUCCGCCUUAUGUCAGAAACAAUUU